rnacentral:lncRNA from 1 species
GAACAUCUGACAAGAAACAGAAAGCCACUUAGAAUGCAACCUCUGUGAAUUAUCCCUCUAAACAGAAAGGCGCCACAUUCUUGGAUCUUGCUUGGGGCAAUAUGCAAGUCUUCUCUGGGAUUUGCUGCUUGAGCGAAGGCUAAUCUUCACAUAUUCUGAGGGCUCACCUGUCUUUAGAAAUACAGAGUACCAUCUGA